UUCAUACUCCCUCCGUUCGGAAAUACAUGUCUUAAAAAUGGAUGUAUCUAAAUGUAUUUUAGUUCUAAAUACAUUUAUUUUUAUUUAUUUGUAUGACAGGUAAUUUCGGACGAAGAGAGUAUUAU
rfam:Hordeum vulgare subsp. vulgare, WGS project CAJW01000000 data, contig: morex_contig_1559791